CCUUGUCAUAGGAUCCUCAGCACACCUGAGCUCACCUGAUUUAGGAAGCUAAGCAGGGUCAGACCUGGAUAGUUUUUGGAUGGGAGACCGGCAAGAAACAGGGUGCUGUAUGGA
rnacentral:rRNA from 1 species